GACGAGCGCUGGCGGCGUGCUCAACACAUGCAAGUCGAACGGAAAGGCCCUUCGGGGUACUCGAGUGGCGAACGGGUGAGUAACACGUGGGUGAUCUGCCCUGCACUUUGGGAUAAGCCUGGGAAACUGGGUCUAAUACCGAAUAGGACCACGCGCUUCAUGGUGUGUGGUGGAAAGCUUUUGCGGUGUGGGAUGGGCCCGCGGCCUAUCAGCUUGUUGGUGGGGUAAUGGCCUACCAAGGCGACGACGGGUAGCCGGCCUGAGAGGGUGACCGGCCACACUGGGACUGAGAUACGGCCCAGACUCCUACGGGAGGCAGCAGUGGGGAAUAUUGCACAAUGGGCGCAAGCCUGAUGCAGCGACGCCGCGUGAGGGAUGACGGCCUUCGGGUUGUAAACCUCUUUCACCAGGGACGAAGCGUAAGUGACGGUACCUGGAGAAGAAGCACCGGCCAACUACGUG
rnacentral:rRNA from 1 species